rnacentral:rRNA from 1 species
AACGAACGCUGGCGGCGUGCCUAACACAUGCAAGUCGAACGAGAAAGGGGCUUCGGCUCCGAGUAAAGUGGCGCACGGGUGAGUAACACGUGGGUAACCUGCCUCUAAGAUUGGGAUAACUCGUCGAAAGAUGAGCUAAUACCGAAUAAGACCACAGUUCCCGCGGGAACAGGGGUCAAAGGUAGCCUCUGCUUGCAAGCUAUCACUUAGAGAUGGGCCUGCGCACCAUUAGCUAGUUGGUAGGGUAACGGCCUACCAAGGCAAAGAUGGUUAGCUGGUCUGAGAGGAUGAUCAGCCACACUGGAACUGAGACACGGUCCAGACUCCUACGGGAGGCAGCAGUGGGGAAUAUUGCGAAAUGGGGGAAAGCUUGACGCAGCAACGCCGCGUGAGUGAUGAAGGCCUUCGGGUCGUAAAGCUCUGUCGGGAGGAACGAAUGCUCCUGAGGUUAACAGCCUCGGGAGGUGACGGUACCUUCAAAGGAAGCACCGGCUAACUCUGUG